UGGAUACUCUUUGAUUCAAGGACUCCGUUGUGUUGUGAGUUUGGUUAGGGGAAGUGUUCUCUUCAACAAGCCCCUUAGCUUGGGCCAUUUUCUCUGCUGAUCAGGAAGCAUAAUUUCUGCCUUCCUGUUGUUGCCCCCAGUGGUAGGAUUUAGGGAGGGAGAUGAUUUGUGGGAGUGAUUGCUGAUUGGAAUAUGGGUCAAAUUGAAAAGCUAGAUUUGUGGUCAUGGAGAUGUCUUUUUGCUUUCAUUAUGGCAAUUGUGAGGUGAUCCAAUAGCUUCGACAGAUUACCACAUGCUCCAAAUAUGGAGAUUUACUCUAUGUAUGGGGUCGGGAUUCCAACGUAAAGAGUCUAUGUUUAUAAGUCAACCUUCCAAUCGGAAUGCUACAUUCCGUUUCAGAUCGACACAUCAGCAAUUGGUGGAGAUGAGGACUCUUUUUUAAAGGAUGGAGUUUAUAAUGCCAAUUGGGAUGAAACCGUUCCUGUUUUAAGCGCUGGUUUCAUUUGUGCAAGAGGCUGGCGGGAAAAAACCCGCUUUAAUCCUUCAAGCAUCUAAACGUUCGUAAGGGAGUAUGAAGACGCUGCUCCGGCUAAUCUUCUCGAAGGAAGGGGAACCCAGAGUGGUGCUCAUGUUGAUAUAUUGGAGAACUUUGCACUUAUUGAAGAUAUUAUACGAGUAGCAGCAGGGGCCUCUGGUGAGUACUUAGGUAGACAUAGAGUUCACUCAGAUUUUCAAAGGGUUUCAAAAUAUUAACUCUCAGUGCAAUAAAUGUUCCGGCUGGCAGUUGUUCCUUUAUUAAAUUAUUUUUUACUUUUCGGAUUAUAAAUACUCAUUGUUACCUUAGUUUAACAUGAGUAUUACCCAUGAGGUUAUAAAGAACUGUUGUUAGGAAUUAAAUGGAAAUGUGCACUAAUCUUUGAUCAUUUUAGCAUUGGUAUUGUGACACCAAACUAAUCAUUUCUAUGUGUUAGUGAGUUUUC